UCAUACGACUCUCGGCAACGGCAUAUCUCGGCUCUCGCAUCGAUGAAGAACGAUACGUGGAWGUGAAUUGCAGAAUCCCGUGAACCAUCGAGUCUUUGAACGCAAGUUGCGCCCGAGGCCUUUCGGUUGAGGGCACGCCUGCCUGGGCGUCACGC
rnacentral:rRNA from 1 species